UUUAAUUGAAGAGUUUGAUCAUGGCUCAGAUUGAACGCUGGCGGCAGGCUUAACACAUGCAAGUCGAGCGGUAGCACAGGGGAGCUUGCUCUCUGGGUGACGAGCGGCGGACGGGUGAGUAAUGUCUGGGAAACUGCCUGAUGGAGGGGGAUAACUACUGGAAACGGUAGCUAAUACCGCAUAACGUCGCAAGACCAAAGAGGGGGACCUUCGGGCCUCUUGCCAUCAGAUGUGCCCAGAUGGGAUUAGCUAGUAGGUGGGGUAAUGGCUCACCUAGGCGACGAUCCCUAGCUGGUCUGAGAGGAUGACCAGCCACACUGGAACUGAGACACGGUCCAGACUCCUACGGGAGGCAGCAGUGGGGAAUAUUGCACAAUGGGCGCAAGCCUGAUGCAGCCAUGCCGCGUGUGUGAAGAAGGCCUUCGGGUUGUAAAGCACUUUCAGCGAGGAGGAAGGUGGUGAGCUUAAUACGCUCAUCAAUUGACGUUACUCGCAGAAGAAGCACCGGCUAACUCCGUGCCAGCAGCCGCGGUAAUACGGAGGGUGCAAGCGUUAAUCGGAAUUACUGGGCGUAAAGCGCACGCAGGCGGUUUGUUAAGUCAGAUGUGAAAUCCCCGGGCUCAACCUGGGAACUGCAUUUGAAACUGGCAAGCUAGAGUCUCGUAGAGGGGGGUAGAAUUCCAGGUGUAGCGGUGAAAUGCGUAGAGAUCUGGAGGAAUACCGGUGGCGAAGGCGGCCCCCUGGACGAAGACUGACGCUCAGGUGCGAAAGCGUGGGAGCAAACAGGAUUAGAUACCCUGGUAGUCCACGCUGUAAACGAUGUCGAUUUGGAGGUUGUGCCCUUGAGGCGUGGCUUCCGGAGCUAACGCGUUAAAUCGACCGCCUGGGGAGUACGGCCGCAAGGUUAAAACUCAAAUGAAUUGACGGGGGCCCGCACAAGCGGUGGAGCAUGUGGUUUAAUUCGAUGCAACGCGAAGAACCUUACCUACUCUUGACAUCCAGAGAACUUUCCAGAGAUGGAUUGGUGCCUUCGGGAACUCUGAGACAGGUGCUGCAUGGCUGUCGUCAGCUCGUGUUGUGAAAUGUUGGGUUAAGUCCCGCAACGAGCGCAACCCUUAUCCUUUGUUGCCAGCGGUUCGGCCGGGAACUCAAAGGAGACUGCCAGUGAUAAACUGGAGGAAGGUGGGGAUGACGUCAAGUCAUCAUGGCCCUUACGAGUAGGGCUACACACGUGCUACAAUGGCGUAUACAAAGAGAAGCGACCUCGCGAGAGCAAGCGGACCUCAUAAAGUACGUCGUAGUCCGGAUUGGAGUCUGCAACUCGACUCCAUGAAGUCGGAAUCGCUAGUAAUCGUAGAUCAGAAUGCUACGGUGAAUACGUUCCCGGGCCUUGUACACACCGCCCGUCACACCAUGGGAGUGGGUUGCAAAAGAAGUAGGUAGCUUAACCUUCGGGAGGGCGCUUACCACUUUGUGAUUCAUGACUGGGGUGAAGUCGUAACAAGGUAACCGUAGGGGAACCUGCGGUUGGAUCACCUCCUUACCUAAAGA
rnacentral:rRNA from 1 species